ACUGUCUCUUAAUUGGGGGCUGGAAUGAAUGAGGCGACGAAAUCUAGGCUAUCUAAGUUUUAAAUUAAAUUGACAAAGAGGUCAAAAGGCCUGUGUGGACCAAGGGGACGAUAAGACCCUAUAAAACUUUACUUUUAGUGUGGGGUCUGACGGGGUGUUUUUACAUUUAAAAGUUUUACUGGGGCGGUAGUUAUAAAAACAAUUAGAUAUAAAAUAUAUUAAAUAGUGUAAAAGAACUCUUUUGAGAAAUAGAACAAGUUACUUUAGGGAUAACAGCGUAAUCCCCCCAGAGAGUCCUAAUUGGCGGGGGGGCUUACGACCUCGAUGUUGAAUUGGGGUCUCUUGUAUAAGCAGGCAUAUAU
rnacentral:rRNA from 1 species